GUCUUUCCCCGGCGUUAUCAUGAUAACAGGACUAGAUUUUUCAUACACUGGACCGUCAACAAUGGGGAUCAAGAAACGGGGUGUUACAAUUUAGAUUGUCGAGGAUUUGAACAAGAAAAUGAUGUAGAUAUGAUAGGCAAAUCAUUGGAUCCAGUAUCAUCCUAUGAUGGUCCACAACAUUAUAUUACAAUUCAAGUUGUCCAGCAUUUCAGGGGAGGAGCUUGGCAUUUGAUAGUGGAUGACAGUGUGGUGGGUAAUUGGC